UACGUAGGGGGCUAGCGUUAUCCGGAUUUACUGGGCGUAAAGGGUGCGUAGGCGGUCUUUUAAGUCAGGAGUGAAAGGCUACGGCUCAACCGUAGUAAGCUCUUGAAACUGGAGGACUUGAGUGCAGGAGAGGAGAGUGGAAUUCCUAGUGUAGUGGUGAAAUGCGUAGAUAUUAGGAGGAACACCAGUAGCGAAGGCGGCUCUCUGGACUGUAACUGACGCUGAGGCACGAAAGCGUGGGGAGCAAACAGG
rnacentral:rRNA from 1 species